rnacentral:tRNA from 1 species
GGAGGCAUAGCUCAGCUGGUUAGAGUGCAUGCUUGACAUGCAUGAGGUCACUGGUUCGAUCCCAGUUGUCUCCACCA